UCCGCGAUAGCUCAGAAGUAGAGCGCUAACCGGUAAUUAGUACGUCGCAGUUUCGAUUCCCGUUCGUGGAG
rnacentral:tRNA from 1 species